AACUUUCAACAACGGAUCUCUUGGUUCUGGCAUCGAUGAAGAACGCAGCGAAAUGCGAUAAGUAGUGUGAAUUGCAGAAUUCAGUGAAUCAUCGAAUCUUUGAACGCACAUUGCGCCCUUUGGCAUUCCAAAGGGCAUGCCUGUUCGAGCGUCAU
rnacentral:rRNA from 2 species